rnacentral:rRNA from 1 species
AGCGAACGCUGGCGGCAGGCCUAACACAUGCAAGUCGAACGAACUCUUCGGAGUUAGUUGCGGACGGGUGUGUCACACGGGGGAACGUGCCGUUAGGCUCGGAAUAACACAGGGACACUUGUGCUAAUAUCGAAAGAGUUACUCUGGGGAAAGAUUUGUCGCGCUUAGAGCGGCCCGCGUCCGUUUAGCUGGUUGGGGAGGUAAGGGCCGACCACGGCGUAGAUCAGUAGCUGGGUUGAGAGGCAGAGCAGCCACAUUGGGACUGGGACGCGGCCCGAAAUCCUACGGGAGGCAGGAGUGCGGAAUCUUGCGCAAUCGGCGAAAGCCUGACGGAGCCAUGGCGGGUGAAUGAUGUAGGUCUUAGGAUAGUAAAAUUCUUUCAUCGGGGACGAUAAUGACGGUACCCAGAGAAGAAGCCCCGGCUAACUUCGUG